AUUGAACGCUGGCGGCAUGCCUAACACAUGCAAGUCGAACGGCAGCACAGUAUGUAGCAAUACAUAUGGGUGGCGAGUGGCGGACGGGUGAGUAACGCGUGGGAAUCUGCCCUAUAGUGGGGGACAACCCGACGAAAGUCGGGCUAAUACCGCAUACGCCCUACGGGGGAAAGGCUUCGGCCGCUAUUGGAUGAGCCCGCGUCGGAUUAGCUAGUUGGUGGGGUAAUGGCUCACCAAGGCGACGAUCCGUAGCUGGUCUGAGAGGACGAUUAGCCACACUGGGACUGAGACGCGGCCCAGACUCCUACGGGAGGCAGCAGUGGGGAAUAUUGCACAAUGGGCGAAAGCCUGAUGCAGCAAUGCCGCGUGUGUGAAGAAGGCCUGCGGGUUGUAAAGCACUUUCGGUAGGGAAGAUAAUGACGGUACCUACAGAAGAAGCACCGGCUAACUCCGUGCCAGCCGCCGCCGUAAGAC
rnacentral:rRNA from 1 species